rnacentral:rRNA from 1 species
GAUGAACGCUGGCGGCGUGCCUAACACAUGCAAGUCGAGCGAGAAGAUUAUGAUGGAUCCUUCGGGUGACAGAUUAAUUGGAAAGCGGCGGACGGGUGAGUAACGCGUGGGUAACCUGCCCUGUACAGAGGAAUAGCCAUUGGAAACGAUGAUUAAUGCCUCAUAAGACUACACUACCGCAUGGUAGAGUAGUAAAAACUCCGGUGGUACAGGAUGGACCCGCGUUAGAUUAGUUAGUUGGUGAGGUAACGGCUCACCAAGACCACGAUCUAUAGCCGACCUGAGAGGGUGAUCGGCCACACUGGAACUGAGACACGGUCCAG